rnacentral:rRNA from 1 species
UACAGGGGGGGGCAAGCGUUGUUCGGAAUUACUGGGCGUAAAGGGCUUGUAGGUGGCCGACUAAGUCCGACGUGAAAUCCCCAGGCUUAACCUGGGAACUGCGUCGGAUACUGGUUGGCUUGAAUCCGGGAGAGGGAUGCGGAAUUCCAGGUGUAGCGGUGAAAUGCGUAGAUAUCUGGAGGAACACCAGUAGCGAAGGCGGCACUCUGGGCCGUGACUGACGCUGAGGAGCGAAAGCGUGGGUAGCAAACAGG